AGUCGCACGAGAAAGGGCUUCGGCCUGAGUAAAGUGGCGGACGGGUGAGUAAUGCGUAGAUAACCUGCCCUCAUGAUGGGGAUAACUAGCCGAAAGGUUAGCUAAUACCGAAUGUGGUUCCGGGGCGCAGGCGCCGGAACUAAAGAUGGCCUCUGGUUCAAGCUGUCGCAUGAGGAGGGGUUUACGUGCUAUUAGCUAGUUGGUGAGGUAACGGCUCACCAAGGCUGUGAUGGCUAGCCGGCCUGAGAGGGUGUCCGGCCACACUGGGACUGAGACACUGCCCAGACUCCUACGGGAGGCUGCAGUCGAGAAUCUUCCUCCAAUGCGCGAAAGCGUGAAGGAGCGACGCCGCGUGAACGACGAAGGCCUUCGGGUUGUAAAGUUCUGUCAGAGAGGCCUAAACCUUGAGGAGUAACACUCUUUCAAGCUGAAGUCCUUUCAGAGGAAGCACCAGCUAAACUCGUGCCAGCAGCUGCGGUAAUACGAGUGGUGCAAGCGUUGUUCGGAAUCACUGGGCAUAAAGAGCACGUAGGUGGCGGUGCAAGUCAUGGGUGAAAUCCCCCGGCUCAACCGGGGAACUGCCUGUGAGACUGUGCUGCUUGAGGGUGGCAUGGGGGGGA
rnacentral:rRNA from 1 species